CUGGAGCUGGGCCAGGGGCUGGGGGCUGCUCCCACCCCUGCAUCCCACAAUCGCUGCAUUCACUGUGCCUGGCCUCAUCCUGCUGGGGCUGCUCUGCGGCAGGGCAGGGCAGAUCCUGCAAUUGCACUUCUCUUGCUACUUCUCUCCCUGCUGCUUGCAGCUUUUCUUCUUCGUUUUGCGUGUCCUGUUGAAGAGGAACACCCAAACUGUUUUUUCCUCCUUCCAGUGUCUUCCUUUCUGUCCUGCAUGGAACAUUCUUCAACUUGGCUUUCUUAGCCGUAAGUGGAAUAAAACUGUUUUCUCCCUGCUUACCCCGUCACUUAGCACAGCAUGAGGAGGAUGCUGUUAUUUCUGGCUUUGAUUACGUGUAUGGCAUUAUGCUUGGGCCAGGCAUGUGGCUUCUAAUGGAUAUCUGUGAGACGUGCUUGUAUGUGAGGGAAUAGCAAACUUGGCUCCUCAUAAAGAAAAACAAAACAAUUGCAAUUUAAACUUGAGACAAAAUCCAAAAAGAACAAGGGAGUUCACUCAUGAGAUUAAAAAAAAAAAAUACUGGUACCCUAAAUAAUGAUGCAGAAACCUCAAAUACUGUGGAUUGCAAAACAAAUUUUCUCCACAAAGAGCAAUUCUUGUUCUCACUUCUCACAAUAAAUCCCCGAAACAUCAGUAAAUCGAUAGCGUGGCGCUCGUAUGAAGCAACAACGCUUUUUGUGAGAUUAACAAUGGUGUGUCGGGGUGAGGGAGAUGUAAAACAGGUCAGGAGCCACUGUGGUGUUAAACGCUUACAGGGGCACGUGGCUUUCAGUAGGUGAUGGCAUGGAUUCCUCUCCCCUGGAGCGAGGACGGGAAUGCUGAGAGGCUGGCCUGAAGCUGGUACUCCUUUUGAUUAAAAAGCUUUGGUGUUUCUGUGACAAAGAAACAUCUGACUAGGUAGUGGAAUUGUACAGCGCAUCCAUUUAAAGCAAGACCUGCUUGGGUUUCUUCAGCUGUGCUGUACAGAGGAUGCGGUCUCGCUUGGUCUGCAGGUCUCCCUGGAGGCCCAGCAGCACCGCUCCCUGGAGUUACCGUCCCCGGUUGAAGACCUUUGGUUGCGCCUGGCAUGAAUACGUGCUGCACGAGGACAGCGCUGCUGUGACCUAAUCCAUGAUUGCAGCUGAUUCGGGUCUCUUGGGAUCACAUAAAUUACAGAAGCGAACCAGGAAACAUCUCCCUGACCUGUGGAAGGGAUUGCUUUCUCCCCGAUCUGUAAGUUCACUUGAUGAUAGUUCUGUU